rnacentral:rRNA from 1 species
GACGAACGCUGGCGGCGUGCUUAACACAUGCAAGUCGAACGGAAAGGCCCUGCUUUUGUUGGGUUCUCGAUUGGCGAACGGGUGAGUAACACGUGAGUAACCUGCCCUUGACUUUGGGAUAACUUCAGGAAACUGGGGCUAAUACCGGAUAUGAUCUCCUGCUGCAUGGUGGGGGUUGGAAAGUUUCGGCGGUUGGGGAUGGACUCGCGGCUUAUCAGCUUGUUUGUGGGGUAGUUGCUUACCAAGGCUUUGACGGGUAGCCGGCCUGGGAGGGUGACCGGCCACAUUGGGCCUGAGAUACGGCGCAGACUCCUACGGGAGGCAGCAGUGGGGAAUAUUGCACAAUGGGCGGAAGCCUGAUGCAGCAACGCCGCGUGCGGGAUGACGGCCUUCGGGUUGUAAACCGCUUUCGCCUGUGACGAAGCGUGAGUGACGGUAAUGGGUAAAGAAGCACCGGCUAACUACGUG